rnacentral:rRNA from 1 species
UACGUAGGGUGCGAGCGUUAAUCGGAAUUACUGGGCGUAAAGUGUGCGCAGGUGGCCGCGCAAGUCGAGUGUGAAAUCCCCCGGGCUUAACUUGGGAAUUGCGCUCGAAACUACGUGGCUCGAGUAUGGCAGAGGAAGGUGGAAUUCCACGUGUAGCGGUGAAAUGCGUAGAGAUGUGGAGGAACACCGAUGGCGAAGGCAGCCUUCUGG